GCCGACACACUAGCGUUUGUCCAGCGUAGGCGUUCGAUGAACGAAUGUGCAGCGCAGACGCCGCGACAACGCCGCGUCGCCGCAUCUCUACUGGAACAAUCAGUACGCGGCGCUAGCGCCGCGUACUGAUCGUUUCUGAAUAAAUUGUGUAACGUCUGCGCCGCGCUAGCGCAGCAUUUAAUUAGUUCUGCAGAGGAAACGUUACGACAACGCGACGUACGCGCCACGUUGUCGCGGCGUCUGCGCUAGUGCGCAUACGUUCAUCGAACGCCUACGCUGGACAAACGCUAGUGUGAAGGCAGCCUAAAUAUUACGAC